AGGGGGUAGGAUGAUCAAGAAGAAGCUGCUAACUUCUCCCUUAAGCGGUUAAAAUCCGUUUAUACCCCUG
rnacentral:tRNA from 1 species